rnacentral:rRNA from 1 species
AACGAACGCUGGCGGCAUGCCUAACACAUGCAAGUCGAACGAUGCCUUCGGGCAUAGUGGCGCACGGGGGAGUAACGCGUGGGAACCUGCCCGGUGGUACGGAAUAACUCCGGGAAACUGGAGCUAAUACCGUAUGUGUCCCCUGGGACAAAGAUUUAUCGCCACGGGAUGGGCGCGCGUAGGAUUAGCUUGUUGGUGGGGUAACGGCCUACCAAGGCUACGAUCCUUAGCUGGUCUGAGAGGAUGAUCCGCCACACUGGGACUGAGACACGGCCCAGACUCCGACGGGAGGCAGCAGUGGGGAAUAUUGGACAAUGGGCGCAAGCCUGAUCCCGCAAUGCCGCGUGAGUGAUGAAGGCCUUCGGGUUGUACAGCUCUUUCGCACGCGACGAUGAUGACGGUAGCGUGAGAAGAAGCCCCGGCUAACUUCGUG